UGGAGCGAAUCACAAAAACUACGGUCUCAGUUCAGAUUGCAGGCUGCAACUCGCCUGCAUGAAGUUGGAAUUGCUAGUAAUCGCGAAUCAGAAUGUCGCGGUGAAUACGUUCCCGGGCCUUGUACACACCGCCCGUCACACCAUGAGAGUCGAUAACACCCGAAGCCUGUGAGCUAACCUUUUAGGAGGCAGCAGUCGAAGGUGGGGUUGAUGAUUGGGGUGAAGUCGUAACAAGGUAUC
rnacentral:rRNA from 1 species